rnacentral:tRNA from 1 species
GGAGGGGUGCCCGAGUGGUUAAAUGGGACGGACUGUAAAUCCGUUGGCUCAGCCUACGUUGGUUCGAAUCCAACCCCCUCCACCA